rnacentral:rRNA from 1 species
CCUACGGGAGGCAGCAGUGAGGAAUAUUGGUCAAUGGUCGGGAGACUGAACCAGCCAAGCCGCGUGAGGGAGGAAGGUACAGAGUAUCGUAAACCUCUUUUGUCAGGGAACAAAGACUGGGACGCGUCCCCGGAUGAGUGUACCUGAAGAAAAAGCAUCGGCUAACUCCGUGCCAGCAGCCGCGGUAAUACGGAGGAUGCGAGCGUUAUCCGGAUUUAUUGGGUUUAAAGGGUGCGCAGGCGUGUUGUUAAGUCAGCGGUAAACCACCGGGGCCAAACCCCGACCCGCCGUUGAAACUGGCAGUCUCGAGUUGGAGAGAAGUAGGCGGAAUGCGCGGUGUAGCGGUGAAAUGCAUAGAUAGCGCGCAGAACUCCGAUUGCGAAGGCAGCAUGCCGGCUCCACACUGACGCUGAGGCACGAAAGCGUGGGUAUCGAACAGGAUUAGAUACCCCUGUAGUC